rnacentral:rRNA from 1 species
AACGAACGCUGGCGGCGUGCUUAACACAUGCAAGUCGAACGGAAAGGCCCUGCUUUUGUGGGGUGCUCGAGUGGCGAACGGGUAAGUAACACGUGAGUAACCUGCCCUUGACUUUGGGAUAACUUCAGGAAACUGGGGCUAAUCCCGGAUAAGAGCUCCUGCUGCAUGGUGGGGGUUGGAAAGUUUCGGCGGUUGGGAAUGGACUCGCGUCUUAUCAGCUUGUUGGUUGGGUAGUGGAUUACCAAGGCUUUGACCGGUAGCCGGGCUGAGAGGGUGACCGGCCACGUUGGGACUGAGAUACGGCCCAGACUCCUACGGGAGGCAGGGGUGGGGAAUAUUGUACAAGGGGCGGAAGGCUAAUGCAGCAACGCCGCGUGCGGGAUGAGGGCAUUCGGGUUGGAUUCCGCUUUCGCCUGUGACGAAGCGUGAGUGACGGUAAUGGGUAAAGAAGCACCGGCUAACUACGUG